GUUACCUGAGGGGUGAUUUGGGGAAGAGGAAAGUUUUUACAUUGUUUUGGGGAGCUGGGCCAUACCAGGCUGUUCUGGUGUAAUCACAGUGUUCAGCCUGAGCAGAUACCCUGGAAAUGGUCCUGGGCUGGAUGGAGCUGGGCAGCAGCUGUGUGUGCCUCUUGUAUUUUACAGAGCUAUGAGGAUUUAUAGAAGAACUCCUCUAAUUAUUGCUAAUGCACUUUGAUUUCAUGAAGUCAUGACCUGGAAACCUUCUGCUCCUCUCUCACCUCCAUUAACUCAUCUGACCUACAAAAUGUCUAAUGUGGUUUAUCUGCCAAAUGUGCAAGCUGACAGCGAGCUCAGAAAGGGCAGAUACACCUUUCCUCAGCUGUGAAACACCCUGGGGGAGGGGGAUGACUUUGUUCUGUUUGAGCAGCCACCUCCAACUCAUGGUCCUUUCACUCUCUUACCUCUGCAUGCCCUGCAGCACCCUGGCAGCUGCUAAAGCCUGUCCAAGUCAGACAACACCGAGCUGUCUGCAAGACAGAGCACCUCUGUGCAGCCUGGAACCCUGACUUUCACUUGGAAGGUUAAUUUUCCUUCAAAUGAGAAAUAGGUUUGGCUCCAGCAGUCAAAGCAAGGUUAAGAACCUGGAGAGAGGAAUUGCACAGAGCUGAAUCCUGCAGAUCAUUGCAGGUGUGUUUGAGAGCAGAGGAGAAGAGAGGGGGACUGGAAAUUCCUAAGGCAGGACAAAUGUCUAGACGUAAAGAGAAAGGAGCAUUGAUCAUUUUAUUGUUAAGUCUGAUGCUGCUGCUGCUAGAGCUCUUGGUCUGUGUGAAGCUGUGUUUUGGGGAAGACCACAAAGCCUUCAGUGUAUGAUUUACUGGAGCAGAAAAACUUGCUCAUCCCUUCCUUGGCUCACCUGAGUUGAAAAUACAAUCUCCUCUUAAAACAACCCUGCACACAGCUGGGUGUAAUUCAGCCCACAGCUUCUGCUGCCUUAAUUCACAAAGAUCAAUUUACAGAGGAAAGCCUCCAGCUAACUGAUGCCAGGUGGUGGCUUUGGCUUCCUGAGGGGGUGGGUGACAAAUACAAGUGGCCUGAAACAAAUCAAGGGAUAAUGCUGUGCCACAGAACGGUGCUGGAUGCCUUCUGUCUGCGGGUAUCUAAUACAGCUAAUAAGCAGCUCACAUUACUGCCUGAUUUGGCAGGAAUUAUUACCUGCUGAAUGGCUUAAUAGAUUUCCAGUCCCUCUGUGUGUAAUUUUCACUCGUCCCCAAAGGAAAGCUAUAUAAUGUUUGCCAUAGUUGUUUGUAGAAUUGGGAUGCACCACAGGUGUCAUAAACUGCUCUGUAUUACAUGCCAUUUUACUUCUGGUGGGGCUGUAAUUACUGGGAGCUCUUCUGGGCAGAGACUGCUACUUGGGAUGUGAUUGUCCAAAGCAGGACCUUACACUGCCUGGCCUCCCUUUGUCACUGCAGUGUUUGCCUUCAUUAUCUUCAUUAUUGGUAAAUCUGCCCAAGUAACUCUUGGACAUCUUAAAAUAUGUUUAAGUGGUUGGAUUCAGAGGUGUUUUUUUAUCAGGGCUGUGCCUUUAAAUAAAGCAAGAUCUUGAAAAAUGA